UACCAGCCCCCUGAGUGGUAGGGAUGAUUAUUUGGCCUAAAGCGUCCGUAGCCGGCUUAGCCAGUCUUUCGUGAAAUCCAGUGACUCAAUCAUUGGGCGUGCGAGAGAUACUACUAGGCUUGAGGACGGGAGAGGUCGACGGUAUUUCGGGGGUAGAGGUAAAAUCCUAUAAUCCUCGGAGGACCACCAGUGGCGAAGGCGGUCGACUAGAACGUGCCUGACGGUGAUGGACGAAAGCUGGGGGAGCAAACCGGAUUAGACACCCGGGUAGUCCCAGCUGUAAACGAUGCGGGCUAGGUGUUGGGUCAGCUACGAGCUGAUCCAGUGCCGCAGAGAAGUCAUUAAGCCCGCCGCCUGGGAAGUACGGUCGCAAGACUGGAGCUUAAAGGAAUUGGCGGGGGAGCACCACAAGGGGUGAAGCCUGCGGUUC
rnacentral:rRNA from 1 species